UACGUAGGGUGCGAGCGUUAAUCGGAAUUACUGGGCGUAAAGCGUGCGCAGGCGGUUGUGCAAGACAGAUGUGAAAUCCCCGGGCUCAACCUGGGAACUGCCUUUGUGACUGCAAGGCUUGAGUGCGGCAGAGGGGGAUGGAAUUCCGCGUGUAGCAGUGAAAUGCGUAGAUAUGCGGAGGAACACCGAUGGCGAAGGCAAUCCCCUGGGCCUGCACUGACGCUCAUGCACGAAAGCGUGGGGAGCAAACAGG
rnacentral:rRNA from 1 species